UUGACGGGGCCCGCACAAGCGGUGGAGCAUGUGGUUUAAUUCGAAGCAACGCGAAGAACCUUACCAGGUCUUGACAUCCCGAUGCUAUUUCUAGAGAUAGAAAGUUACUUCGGUACAUCGGUGACAGGUGGUGCAUGGUUGUCGUCAGCUCGUGUCGUGAGAUGUUGGGUCAAGUCCCGCAACGAGCGCAACCCCUAUUGUUAGUUGCCAUCAUUCAGUUGGGCACUCUAGCGAGACUGCCGGUAAUAAACCGGAGGAAGGUGGGGAUGACGUCAAAUCAUCAUGCCCCUUAUGACCUGGGCUACACACGUGCUACAAUGGUUGGUACAACGAGUUGCGAGUCGGUGACGGCGAGCUAAUCUCUUAAAGCCAAUCUCAGUUCGGAUUGUAGGCUGCAACUCGCCUACAUGAAGUCGGAAUCGCUAGUAAUCGCGGAUCAGCACGCCGCGGUGAAUACGUUCCCGGGCCUU
rnacentral:rRNA from 1 species